UCAUAGUUUAUAACAUAAACUAGAACUCAUACAUAUUAUUCACACCCUACAAUAUUACGCCAUUGGAUAAAUAGAAGAGCUGCACCAUAAUGAGC